rnacentral:rRNA from 1 species
UAAUUCUAGAGCUAAUACAUGCGAAAAAACCCGACUUCUCGGAAGGGUUGUAUUUAUUAGAUAAAGAACCAAUAUUUUUGGUGACUCAUAAUAACUUUACGGAUCACAUUAUGUGACAUAUCAUUCAAGUUUCUGACCUAUCAGCUUUAGACGGUAGGGUAUUGGCCUACCGUGGCUAUGACGGGUAACGGGGAAUUAGGGUUCGAUUCCGGAGAGGGAGCCUGAGAAACGGCUACCACAUCUAAGGAAGGCAGCAGGCGCGCAAAUUACCCAAUCCUAAUACAGGGAGGUAGUGACAAGAAAUAACAAUACAGAGCCUUACGGUUUUGUAAUUGGAAUGAGUUAAGUAUAAACCCCUUAACAAGUAUCAAUUGGAGGGCAAGUCUGGUGCCAGCAGCCGCGGUAAUUCCAGCUCCAAUAGCGUAUAUUAAAGUUGUUGCAGUUAAAAAGCUCGUAGUUAAUUUUCUGUUAAUUUUUAUAUACAAUGCUACGGUAUUUAUAUAAUAUUAACAUAAUUCAUAUUACUUUUU